CACAUACGUGCAUGUAGGUACAUGGAUUGUGUGCUGUGUGGUGUGAGAGUUAAUAUUAGUCAUAAGGAUUGACAUAAACGAACCUGCCUUUGUCUCAGCCAGCCUACCGCGGUAGGUGGGUUAUAAGACAAAUUGCUGUCAUUGAAACAGUUAAACUAUGUGAAUUAUUGUUAUUCAAUACAUGCUGACACUGAAGGAAGAAACAAAGCUCUUUGCCUAUGUUUUGGGCACAGUGUGAAGCAGGUCAGCAGGCACCAGCCCGUUGGUGUGUACCUUCCAGCUGUGGAGAGCUGAAAAAAAUUUUUUUUCAAUGAGCAGUUUCAAGCCUGCCCCACCCUUAGCUCACAGAGCAGCAACACAGACAGGAGGAGUUAAACCAGAAGGUGAGAGAUGCUCAGCCGUGCUCCCUUCUCAGGAGCACAGUGCAGCUGGGUUAGCAUUCUCUGACUGUCAGAUUCGACUGGCUUCUCAAGGCUCACAAAAUGAGGGCAUUGUCUCUUUAAGACAAGAAGGGCUGCCUCCAGUGGAAUGGGUCUCAAGUUAGGCCAGUCAUUAGUUGGCUGUUCUCUCAAUCUCUGCUCCAUCUUUAUCCCUGUUUAUCUUGUAGACAGGACAAAUUUUGGGUUGAAGGUUUUGUGGGUGGGUUGAUGUCCUCCUUGCUCCAUUGGAAGUGGAGGUGGCCUCUUCUGUCUCCAUACCUCUUGCUGGUAGGAGUCUCAGCUAGGGUCACCCCUACAGACCCAGAUCUCCCAUUAGUCCCAGAGAUGCUCCCCCACUGAUCUUUGUUCUCAUUCCCAGCUCUCUCCCCACACCUGAUCCCCAUCCCCGUUCCCCUCCUCACACUGUCACCCACCCAGUUCCCUCCAUCCAUCCACUUCUGAUGACUAUUUUGUUUUCCCUUCUGGGUAAGAUUCACAAGUCUUCCCCUGACACUAUUAAUGAUAGUCUGCUUUGCUUGCAGAUGGAGCCUAGCAUAACUGCCUCCUGAGAGGCUUCAUCCAGCAGUGGAUGGAAGCGUGCAGAGACCCACGGCCAAACAUCAGGUGGCGUUCUGGGAGUCUUAUAGAAGAGUGGGGGAUAGGAUUAAGAGAGCCAGAGGGGUCAAGAACACCACAGGACCUACAAAGUCAACUAACCUGGGCCCAUGGGGGCUCACAGAGGCUGAACCACCAACUAUAGAGUGUACAGGGGCUGGAGCUAGGUCCCCUAUACAUAUGUAGCAUAUAAGUAACUUGGUCUUCAUGUGGGCCCCCUAACAUUGGAGCAGGGGCUGGCUCUGAUUCUUUUGCGUGCCAUUGGAUCCCCUUCCCAUAACAGGACUGCCUGGUUGGGCCUCAAUGGAGAGGAUGGGCUUGGCUUAAUCCUGCUGCAACAGGAUGUUCCAGGGCAGGUGACUCACGAGGGGCUUCCUCUUCUCUGAGAAGAAGGGGAUGGGUAAUGGGGGGGGGUUGUAAGGGUGGAACUGGGAGGAGAGGAGGGAUGGAGUGGGGGCUUCGAUUGGGAUGUAAAGUGAGUAAAUUAAUUAAUUAAUAAAAAAAGACAAGAAGGACAUUGUAUUCAAAGGUAAAGACUUGCAAGCCUAACAGAUAAAACCUUCUCAUAUCUGGUGGGUAGGACCUAGGGAUUUGGAUUUUUACACACAGCAUGGCACGGGGUGAGGGUUGUGGACUCAUGCCUGGGCUUGUUUGCUGUAGGAAACAGAGAUGUCUGUAUGAUACAAAUCCCAACACUUCUGUUCUUUUCUGUUUUGUUUUAGGAGUUGCUUUAGUAAAGGGAGGAGGAAUUAGCAGGAGCCUGGGGUUGUUCAAUGUAAAGAAAUGUGAAACUCAAGUCUUCAAGCUGGGCUUGUGCUGGGAUUCUACCUGAUGCCCCUGGUCUGGGGUGCAGCCAAGACAUCUUCCUGCAGGGCCUGUAUGGCAGACACUUAACAUUUAAAAUAGGCACAGUACAGUGUUUCAAAUGGAAUGACUUGUCCAAAGGAAUGACUGAGAACAGUGACUUAACUAUGGAUAGAUAGGAAGAAAUGAGAAUUCAGCAGGUAAUGCCUGUCAUGCGUCUCCUGAAGCUACAUCCCUGCCACAGACCCUUGCUGGAAACAACCCUACCAGCCUCUCUGCAGAGAGCUUGGCUUUGGACGAAGAAGGUGACAACACCCUACAGCACAGUACAGGGAACAUGAAGAUUGCCUUCAAACUGGAAGAUCAACCAGCAUAUGCCAUAUAACCUGACUUGGUAAGUCCUCAAUGCUGAAGGAGACAUCUUCACUAGCGCCUCCAAAGGUGACUUCGUGGACUGUUGGUUCCCCAACUUAUGAUUUAGUGGGGUACAUCUCCUUGACUGUAUAAACUGGGGUCAACACUCUGAUGUGUGCCCUGCAGAAAACAGCUCUAAGAGAAUGUGGAGGCGCUGGCGAAGCAGACUGUGCUGGCUGACACUGCAUAUCCAUAGACCACAUUUGGUGGUCCCUGCCUAUAACCAUGGACAAAAUUAGAAACUCUGUGGCCAUUCAGGGAUAUUACUCCUGUAAUGGGGGACAAUGAAGAUACCCUGAAUUAUUCUCUUGUCUCUUGGGCCCAUACUGUUCAACAAACUGAUGACUUUUGUACGACACCAGAUAGAUGCUAUUGAAAUGAAACCCAUACAGGUCCAUUAUCACAGGCUGGAAGUAGGGGACUCUAAAAUCUCUGUCAUCGAGACUGAUGAGGAAUAGCCCCUAACUUACUUGCUAAACCAGAUAGUUAAUAAUGGGUAAGAGAACACCUCAAAACCCGUGCCCCUAGGUGGGAGGUCUCACCAACCUAAGACAGGAGCUCAAUCAAAAAAGAACUGUUGAGUGUCCGGAGAUGGGAAAAGGGAGGCUAGACAGACUCAGUUUCUGUAAGUUUUCCCAGCCUUCCCUUUUGAAAAAAUUAAAAAGGGGGACCUGUUGGGAGCCGACUCUUAGCAGAAAGCAGCUAUCAUCUCUGCAGCCAUCUCGGGAUAUUUACUUACAGGUGGAACUUUUCCACCCUGAAGAGAAACUUGUUGUCCUAGCAUGAUGUUUUUGCAAGAAGCUGAACACACUCUGAUAACAUCUUGUUUUAUCUCCUAUACAUCCUGGACCUGUGGCUAAGUGUCUCCAGCUGCACUCCCCAGCGAGUGCAUAUAUACCCAUAGUUGCCUUUCAAUAAAUGAGACUUGAGACUUGGUCA